rnacentral:rRNA from 1 species
AGAUUGAACGCUGGCGGCAGGCCUAACACAUGCAAGUCGAGCGGUAGAGAGGUGCUUGCAUCUCUUGAGAGCGGCGGACGGGUGAGUAAUGCCUAGGAAUCUGCCUAGUGGGUGGGGGAUAACGUUCGGAAACGGACGCUAAUACCGCAUACGUCCUACGGGAGAAAGCGGGGGACCUUCGGGCCUCGCGCCAUUAGAUGAGCCUAGGUCGGAUUAGCUAGUUGGUGAGGUAAUGGCUCACCAAGGCGACGAUCCGUAACUGGUCUGAGAGGAUGAUCAGUCACACUGGAACUGAGACA